AUCCAGCUGACGUGUCCCAAAUAGGAGGAAAUGCGCAUCCUUGAU
rnacentral:hammerhead_ribozyme from 1 species